rnacentral:rRNA from 1 species
UACGUAGGGGGCAAGCGUUGUCCGGAAUCAUUGGGCUUAAAGCGCGCGUAGGCGGCUCUGUAAGUCCGUUGUGAAAGUCAAAGGCUCAACCUUUGAAUGCCGAUGGAUACUGCAGGGCUAGAGUCCGGAAGAGGCGAGUGGAAUUCCUGGUGUAGCGGUGGAAUGCGCAGAUAUCAGGAGGAACACCGGUGGCGAAGGCGGCCUGCUGGGAUAUGGCUGACGCUGAAGCGCGACAGCGUGGGGAGCAAACAGG